rnacentral:rRNA from 1 species
GGAAUAUUGGGCAAUGGACGCAAGUCUGACCCAGCCAUGCCGCGUGCAGGAAUGACGGCCCUAUGGGUUGUAAACUGCUUUUCUGCAAGAAGAAACCCCCGCACGUGUCGGGGGCUGACGGUAUUGUAGGAAUAAGCAUCGGCUAACUCCGUGCCAGCAGCCGCGGUAAUACGGAGGAUGCAAGCGUUAUCCGGAUUCAUUGGGUUUAAAGGGUGCGCAGGCGGACUAAUAAGUCAGUGGUGAAAGCCUA